rnacentral:rRNA from 1 species
UGGGGAAUAUUGGACAAUGGGCGCAAGCCUGAUCCAGCCAUGCCGCGUGAGUGAUGAAGGCCCUAGGGUUGUAAAGCUCUUUCAACGGUGAAGAUAAUGACGGUAACCGUAGAAGAAGCCCCGGCUAACUUCGUGCCAGCAGCCGCGGUAAUACAGAGGGGGCAAGCGUUGUCCGGACUUACUGGGCGUAAAGCGCACGCAGGUGGUAAGGCAAGUGGGGUGUGAAAGCCGCCAGCUUAACUGGCGGAGGCCAUCCCAAACUGCUUCACUUGAGGCCUGUAGAGGUAUGUGGAAUUGCCGGUGUAGUGGUGAAAUGCGUAGAGAUCGGCAGGAACACCCAGGGGGAAACCAGCAUACUGGACAGGACCUGACACUCAGGUGCGACAGCGUGGGGAGCGAACCGGAUUAGAUACCCGCGUAGUCC